ACUCUCAGAGCACUAAUUGUAUAAAAUUCUUGUAACUGCACAUUCUCCUGCUAGAGAAGUAAUGAAUGAAUGGAAAGGCAGAAAUUAUUUGAGAUUCUAAGCAGAGUUUCUCAGUAUACUUCUCCCACUGAUUUAAAUUGUUGCUGAAGAUGAGCGGGAAGAUGAAAGUUUUAUCAAUGGGAAGUGCCUUUUAGAAAGUCUCUAUGUUGGGAGUGUGAGCUGUUCCUAAAAAAAUUCGAAGGGAGUCUUCUGGGAGAUUUCUCAGUGCUUUACAGAUGAGAUUGUUAUACCCAUUUUGCAGAUGAAGAAACUGAGGCACAUGGCAGUGAAGUGACUCACCCCAGGCACUUAAGCAGACUAGGAGGAAAGCUGCAUCUUGAACAAACUGGAAAUCAGCACGAGGGAAUUGCGGUGCUGGUAGCUGGAAUGAAAGAACAUCCCAUGUUUUGUUAUAAUGGCGAAGGUUGAAAGGGGAGGCUAAACCCAUGUACUUCCCACUGAUGUCUUUACAUAACCGAGUCUUUGGAAACUUGACCUACUGAAGGACAGCAUUUGGCCUUCAAAAUCACACUGCAACUUCUGUCACCCUCAGGACACCAUAGGUGUGGCUCAUAAAUGAGAUCACUCCCCAGAACACCCUAUUUGGCUUGGAGAGGAUAAUACAGUUUGAAACCAGCAGUUUAGUGUCACCCAGAGAUUUUUUCUAUGCUCACCUCCAUUGCAUUACACUGAUUUGUACCAGCUGAGGCUUUAGCCCAGAACUGUUUUGUAGAAAACUGCCCAUCCAUUCAGUAUGAAAGCAACAAGAAAAUGGUAGCUGAAGAACCUGAGAACCUUAAUAUCUUUUAUUGUAUUUGUCAUUAGCUGGCAGAAGCAAACACACUUUCCAUUCAUCUGUGAGCUACAAAUAAAAAGUUUUUCUCUGUCUUGGCUGUGUUA